CGGCAGGGCGGGUCUAUAAUGCAGUCGAACGAACUCUGGUAUUGAUUGGUGCUUGCAUCAUGAUUUACAUUUGAGUGAGUGGCGAACUGGUGAGUAACACGUGGGAAACCUGCCCAGAAGCGGGGGAUAACACCUGGAAACAGAUGCUAAUACCGCAUAACAACUUGGACCGCAUGGUCCAAGUUUGAAAGAUGGCUUCGGCUAUCACUUUUGGAUGGUCCCGCGGCGUAUUAGCUAGAUGGUGGGGUAACGGCUCACCAUGGCAAUGAUACGUAGCCGACCUGAGAGGGUAAUCGGCCACAUUGGGACUGAGACACGGCCCAAACUCCUACGGGAGGCAGCAGUAGGGAAUCUUCCACAAUGGACGAAAGUCUGAUGGAGCAACGCCGCGUGAGUGAAGAAGGGUUUCGGCUCGUAAAACUCUGUUGUUAAAGAAGAACAUAUCUGAGAGUAACUGUUCAGGUAUUGACGGUAUUUAACCAGAAAGCCACGGCUAACUACGUGCCAGCAGCCGCGGUAAUACGUAGGUGGCAAGCGUUGUCCGGAUUUAUUGGGCGUAAAGCGAGCGCAGGCGGUUUUUUAAGUCUGAUGUGAAAGCCUUCGGCUCAACCGAAGAAGUGCAUCGGAAACUGGGAAACUUGAGUGCAGAAGAGGACAGUGGAACUCCAUGUGUAGCGGUGAAAUGCGUAGAUAUAUGGAAGAACACCAGUGGCGAAGGCGGCUGUCUGGUCUGUAACUGACGCUGAGGCUCGAAAGUAUGGGUAGCAAACAGGAUUAGAUACCCUGGUAGUCCAUACCGUAAACGAUGAAUGCUAAGUGUUGGAGGGUUUCCGCCCUUCAGUGCUGCAGCUAACGCAUUAAGCAUUCCGCCUGGGGAGUACGGCCGCAAGGCUGAAACUCAAAGGAAUUGACGGGGGCCCGCACAAGCGGUGGAGCAUGUGGUUUAAUUCGAAGCUACGCGAGACCUUACCAGUCUUGACAUACUAUGCAAAUCUAAGAGAUUAGACGUUCCCUUCGGGGACAUGGAUACAGUGGUGCAUGGUUGUCGUC
rnacentral:rRNA from 1 species